UCAAAUUUUAUUAAUUUUUGGAUAAUGAGCUAAUUUUUCUAAAUUGUGUUUGUACUUUUACACAAAAAUGUCUUGCAAAAUGAGUGUGGUGUGUGCUAUGUACGGUUGUAACAAUUAUAAACAGCAAAAAGAGUACAAAUCAUUUUUUAGAAUGCCAAAAGAUAAAAAUUUGUAAGAAAUAUUUAUUGGGAAUUGUGUCGAUUUUUAAAAGUAUUUAGCGGCAUGUAUUUUAAAUUUGACUUAGGCCCGGUCUUUUCAUCUCCGGAUAAAUAUGCUCUUAUUAGCUAUCUGGAGAAUAAGUAUUUAUUCGCCAAAUAAAAUGUACCCGUCUUUUCACAUCAAUUUAUGUUCCAGUUAGUUAUCCUGUAGAUAAGCUCAUAGAGAAAUGUUUUUAUUUCUCUAUGGAUAAGCUUAAAAAAUAUGACAAACAUCUAGAAGAUAGAAUCCUGCGUUCUUAAAGAAAAAAGCUAGUUCCAGAAGUAAGCUACCAAUAAUAAACUAGAGAAUGUAUUACAAGAAAGCUAAUACUCAACAUAGCUCAAUUGCUUCAGAUAGAAACACAAAAAUGUAAAGGAAAGGGUACAACACAACUGUGCCAGAGAAAAUGAAAGGGCAGAAGAGAGACACAAAAUUCAUUGAUUUAUUAAAUUUAAAAAUUGAAUUAUACAAAGGUCAAUUAAAUAAAGAAUAAAAAAAUGAUA